rnacentral:rRNA from 1 species
UACAGAGGUCCCAAGCGUUGUUCGGAUUCACUGGGCGUAAAGGGUGCGUAGGUGGUGGGGUAAGUCGGAUGUGAAAGCUCGGAGCUCAACUCCGAAAUGGCAUUGGAAACUACCCUGCUAGAGGAUUGGAGGGGGGACUGGAAUACUUGGUGUAGCAGUGAAAUGCGUAGAUAUCAAGAGGAACACCGGUGGCGAAGGCGGGUCUCUGGGCCGAUACUGACGCUGAGGAGCGAAAGCGUGGGGAGCGAACAGG